UACGGGGGGGGGCAAGCGUUGUUCGGAAUUACUGGGCGUAAAGGGCUCGUAGGCGGCCAACUAAGUCAGACGUGAAAUCCCCAGGCUCAACCUGGGAACUGCGUCUGAUACUGGAUGGCUUGAAUCCGGGAGAGGGAUGCAGAAUUCCAGGUGUAGCGGUGAAAUGCGUAGAUAUCUGGAGGAAUACCGGUGGCGAAGGCGGCAUCCUGGACCGGCAUUGACGCUGAGGAGCGAAAGCCAGGGGGAGCAAAACGGG
rnacentral:rRNA from 1 species